rnacentral:tRNA from 1 species
UGCCUGUUAGCUCAGUGGUAGAGCAAUCGCCCGAUAAGCGAUAGGUCGUCAGUUCGAUCCUGACACGGGCAA